rnacentral:lncRNA from 1 species
UUGGGGAUCUGCUGGUUUGGAGGCCCUGGGUUUCAUUGGGAUAGAGAUGGCAGAAACCCGGUCAGAAAUGGUACUGAUGACAGAAAAUAGGGAUCCAAGAUGGCGUGGGGGGUGAAGGUGUGAGUAGGGUGAGGCUGAAUCUAAGUACAGGCCUCACUGUGUUCUCCACGAAGAGGCAUGCGAGGGGCAGCCUCUGGGGUCUGAACUGCUGAAGUCUGCUCUCCAGGACCACAACUCCACUCUGGACCUUGUGAAAAUGAUACCCAUUAGCCCCACCUAGCUGCUGCCAGAGGCUGUGCUCACUGGAGGUUAAAAGAAAAAAAGCACCAAGCAAGCCCCACUGUGUCCUGCCUCCAGCAAGGGCAAAGCCCACGAGUGGGACAGGGCUGCCUGGAGGACUGCCCCUGAGAGGUAC